rnacentral:rRNA from 1 species
GAUGAACGCUGGCGGCGUGCCUAAUACAUGCAAGUAGAACGCUGAAGCUUGGUGCUUGCACCGAGCGGAGGAGUUGCGAACGGGUGAGUAACGCGUAGGUAACCUGCCUCUUAGCGGGGGAUAACUAUUGGAAACGAUAGCUAAUACCGCAUAAAAGUCGACAUUGCAUGAUGUUGACUUGAAAGGUGCAACUGCAUCACUAAGAGAUGGACCUGCGUUGUAUUAGCUAGUUGGUGAGGUAACGGCUCACCAAGGCGACGAUACAUAGCCGACCUGAGAGGGUGAUCGGCCACACUGGGACUGAGACACGGCCCAGACUCCUACGGGAGGCAGCAGUAGGGAAUCUUCGGCAAUGGACGGAAGUCUGACCGAGCAACGCCGCGUGAGUGAAGAAGGUUUUCGGGUCGUAAAGCUCUGUUGUAAGAGAAGAACGAGUGUGAGAGUGGAAAGUUCACACUGUGACGGAACUACCAGAAAGG